AGUGAUCCUACGGGAGGCAGCAGUGGGGAAUCUUGCGCAAUGGGCGAAAGUCUGACGCAGCCAUGCCGCGUGAAUGAUGAAGGUCUNAGGAUUGUAAAAUUCUUUCACCGGGGACGAUAAUGACGGUACNCGGAGAAGAAGCCCCGGCUAACUNCGUG
rnacentral:rRNA from 1 species